AUGCUGCACGUCCCCUCUCUGUGCCCUGGCACCCGCUCGGGACGAGGCCGGGCUGGCGGGGAGAGGUUUUGCUUUGAUCCGAGCGAACAGGAGCGGGGGAAAACCCAGGAGAGCUUCGGGCACCCGCGCGUCCCUCCCCUGGAGACCCCCGUGGGGGCGGGGGGCUGCUCCCCACCUGCAGCAGCACCAGCCUGCCAUCCCUCCUCGAUCUGCGCCAACGCGGCGCGGGGCAGGAGGGCAGCACCCGGCCGGGGCAGGUCUGCAGCAGCGAAGGAGCCGGCUCUCGGCAUUCCCAUUUUUGGGAACGGCUCUCCUCGACUUCGGGCUCGCUUCUCGGAGUCGGCCUGGCCUCGUGACUCCCCUCCUUCUCCGCCUGCCCCACGGGACGCCCGUCCCCAGCAGCGUGGACCCGCAGCUGGAGCAGGAGUGCAGGAAGGAGUGGAGAGGAGAAGCAACCCAGGCGCUGCUCUGGCAGGCGCCCAGCACGCCCAGCACCCCGGGGACCGGGGGGGCGCAGACGCCGAAAAACUUCCUGAGGCAUCCACGGCCCCAGCCCAGCCAUCGCUCCGGGUUUUGCAAAGUAUUUUAAGGCAUAAAGGAAUGCGAGCGGCGAGAAGAGGGUCACGUCGGAACCGUGACGAACAGGGGAGAUUCGUCAUCGGCGGUGACGAGCCCUUCUCAAAAUCAUUUUCCCCCAAAUAGCUGCAGUUUACACAAACCACGCCAAGAGGAGAGCUAAACGGGGAGCGGGAGCAUCUGGCUGCCCACGCCGCUUUCUCCCCUGGGGCAGGGAAAGGAGGGAGAUGAGUCUGCGGUUGUGCGGCCGACCGGACACCCGCCCUGACCCCGCAGCAGGCUGGAAGGCAGCGCCCGUGCUCGGCCACGCUCAGCGCCAGGCCUGCCCGGAGCGAGGAAAGGAGCCAGGACGGGAAGAAACGCGGCCCGGGUGGCCACCUCCUGUGCCCUGGGGGCAAGGCUGGACCAGGAGGUCGUCCCCAAGAGCCAUCUCAGUCCCCAUCGCCCUGCCACUUCGGGCGGUUUUGGGACGCGAACAAGCGUCCCCACGUCCUUCAGGGUUCCCAGCCAGCCCUCCAGUGCCGGUGCACCCGGGGACGGCACCCGCUCCAAAAAAGGGCUGACUUUUGUCGAGGUUCCUCCUCCUCUCCCCCGGGGUGACAAAUUUCUGCUGAAUUUGGCCUUCUGGCCUUGCCCAGCCUGGCGAGGAACUCCCCAGCGGUGACACUUGGGCCUCUUUUCCACCCGAGCAGCGUGCGCCCGGCGGUGCCGUGCCCUUCCAAGGGUGUCCCCGGGGCGGCGCAGGGCUGACGGGUGCCAGCACCCCGUAACGCCCGCGGGCUUCACCUUGCGAGGCAGCUCCUGCGGAUGGCUGCAGCUCGCCGGGGUGGGCUUUCAGCACAAAACGGCACGGUUCUGCCAGGAGCGAGGACAAGGAGCGGGGGCACCAGGACGGCCACGAAAAGCGACGCGUGGGCUGGGCGCCCCGGGCUGCGGCACCACGGAGGGCUCCGGGCGGGGGGCUGCCACCAAAAAGUCGGCGCCGUGCUCCGCAGCGCCACGAGGCUCCACGUGGAGCCCCACGGCGACGCUCUGCACCCGAAAGGAGCUGACAAUCGGGGCACUGAAGAAGGCGGCGUGUUUCUUCUUCUCGACGUGCCCACGAGGAGAACGUCAUCGCGGUGGC
rnacentral:lncRNA from 1 species